GUAAAGCACUUUCAGUCGUGAGGAAGCGGGUACGUUAAUAGCGUAUUCGUUUGACGUUAGCGACAGAAGAAAGCACCGGCUAACUCCGUGCCAGCAGCCGCGGUAAUACGGAGGGUGCGAGCGUUAAUCGGAAUUACUGGGCGUAAAGCGCAUGCAGGUGGUUUGUUAAGUCAGAUGUGAAAGACCCGGGGCUCAACCUCGGAAUAGCAUUUGAAACUGGCAGACUAGAGUACUGUAGAGGGGGGUAGGAAUUUCAGGUGUAGCGGUGAAAUGCGUAGAGAUCUGAAGGAAUACCGGUGGCGAAGGCGGCCCCCUCGGACAGAUACUGACACUCAGAUGCGAAAGCGUGGGGAGCAAACAGGAUUAGAUACCCUGGUAG
rnacentral:rRNA from 1 species